AGAGUUUGAUCCUGGCUCAGGAUGAACGCUGGCGGCGUGCCUAAUACAUGCAAGUCGAGCGAACAGAUAAGGAGCUUGCUCCUUUGACGUUAGCGGCGGACGGGUGAGUAACACGUGGAUAACCUACCUAUAAGACUGGGAUAACUUCGGGAAACCGGAGCUAAUACCGGAUAACAUAUUGAACCGCAUGGUUCAAUAGUGAAAGGCGGCUUUGCUGUCACUUAUAGAUGGAUCCGCGCCGUAUUAGCUAGUUGGUAAGGUAACGGCUUACCAAGGCAACGAUACGUAGCCGACCUGAGAGGGUGAUCGGCCACACUGGAACUGAGACACGGUCCAGACUCCUACGGGAGGCAGCAGUAGGGAAUCUUCCGCAAUGGGCGAAAGCCUGACGGAGCAACGCCGCGUGAGUGAUGAAGGUCUUCGGAUCGUAAAACUCUGUUAUCAGGGAAGAACAAAUGUGUAAGUAACUGUGCACAUCUUGACGGUACCUGAUCAGAAAGCCACGGCUAACUACGUGCCAGCAGCCGCGGUAAUAC
rnacentral:rRNA from 1 species